AGCUCCAGUAGCGUAUAUUAAAGUUGUUGCAGUUAAAAAGCUCGUAGUUGGAUUUCUGACGAAUCGGAGUGGCCCGUUCCCUUUCCGGGUAUGAGUGCCGCUUUGUAUUUGUCAUCCUUCCAGAGAGCUGCGUCUACCGUUCAUUCGGCCGGAUGUAUGCGAUCUGGAUCUAUUACUUUGAAAAAAUUAGAGUGUUUAAAGCAGGCUUAUGCUGUGAAUACAUUAGCAUGGAAUAAUAAUUUAGGACUUUGGUUCUAUUUUGUUGGUUUCUAGGACUGAAGUAAUGAUUGAUAGGGAUAGUUGGGGGUGCUAGUAUUCCGCGGCCAGAGGUGAAAUUCUUGGAUUCGUGGAAGACUAACUACUGCGAAAGCAUUCACCAAGGAUGUCUUCU
rnacentral:rRNA from 1 species